rnacentral:rRNA from 1 species
GGAAUCUUCGGCAAUGGACGAAAGUCUGACCGAGCAACGCCGCGUGAGUGAAGAAGGUUUUCGGAUCGUAAAACUCUGUUGGUAGAGAAGAACGUUGGUGAGAGUGGAAAGCUCAUCAAGUGACGGUAACUACCCAGAAAGGGACGGCUAACUACGUGCCCG